CUUCCGUAGGGGAACCUGCGGAAGGAUCAUUAAUUAUGUUAAAGCGCCUUACCUUAGGGUUUCCUCUGGGGUAAGUGAUUGCUUCUACACUGUGAAAAUUUGGCUGAGAGACUCAGACUGGUCAUGGGUAGACCUAUCUGGGGUUUGAUCGAUGCCACUCCUGGUUUCAGGAGUACCCUUCAUAAUAAACCUAGAAAUUCAGUAUUAUAAAGUUUAAUAAAAAACAACUUUUAACAAUGGAUCUCUUGGUUCUCGCAUCGAUGAAGAACGUAGCAAAGUGCGAUAACUAGUGUGAAUUGCAUAUUCAGUGAAUCAUCGAGUCUUUGAACGCAGCUUGCACUCUAUGGUUUUUCUAUAGAGUACGCCUGCUUCAGUAUCAUCACAAACCCACACAUAACAUUUGUUUAUGUGGUGAUGGGUCGCAUCGCUGUUUUAUUACAGUGAGCACCUAAAAUGUGUGUGAUUUUCUGUCUGGCUUGCUAGGCAGGAAUAUUACGCUGGUCUCAGGAUCUUUUUUUUUGGUUCGCCCAGGAAGUAAAGUACAAGAGUAUAAUCCAGUAACUUUCAAACUAUGAUCUGAAGUCAGGUGGGAUUACCCGCUGAACUUAAGCAUAUCAAUA
rnacentral:rRNA from 1 species